rnacentral:lncRNA from 1 species
CUUAUAGACGUCCGUUUGGUUUGGUUUAUUUUUGAGAGUAUGUAAAAUAGCUUUUGCAAGUAAAUAAGCUUUUAUGUAUUAUUCAUAAGCUUGUCAAGAGAGUUUAUGAAAACACAACUUAUGAAGAUGCAACUUUUGUUAGUUAGAACUUAUGAAUUAACAUGAAAUCUUAUUUAUUUAUAUAAGCUGAAAAAUAAGCCAAUCCAGACGGGCCCUCAAGCUUAUAGCUUAUCAUUUUUCUCUCUCAAUUUUACCCCUGCCAUCUUACUUGAAAAGAUAACAUAUUUUUAAGGCUUAACUAUACAUUUGGUCCCUUACGUUUAUUUUAGGUUUCAAUUUGGUCCCUUACGUUUAAAAAGUAUCAAUUUGGUCCCUUACGUUUAUUUUAGGUUUCAAGUUGGUCCUUUCCGUCAAUUUUGUCACAUGUGGCAGUCAAUUUGCAUAUGUGGACUGGCACGUGGCACUUGGACACGCUGACACGUGUACUGUUCAAACGGUGUUAGUGACAAAACUAACGGAAAGGACUAACUUGAAACUUAAAAUAAACGUAAGGGACCAAAUUGAUACUUUUUAAACGUAAGGGACCAAAUUGAAACCUAAAAUAAACGUAAGGGACCAAAUGUGUAGUUAAGCCCAUAAAUGUCAUUUCAUAUUUAUAAGCUAGUUCAUCCACUAAUUUUACUAAAUAUUACAAAUUCAACCAGCUAGCUUAUAAGCUAUUUUUUACCAAAUAGACCCCUCACCAUAUUUAUAUAUAUAUAUCAAUAAUAAAAGAACGAAAACAUGGAUGUGAAGACAGAGUUAUGAUGACACAGUGGUAUACAAGAGCAGCCGCGAAAGGUGUGGUAAUUAGUGGACAAUUGUGGCAACCAAAUCGUCUGCUGAGGAUGUCAACUAACUGUAACAACGACAACACCAACAACCAUGAUGACCUGGAUUCCAUUUUCAAACAGAAACGAAUUCUUCGAACUCAGGUCAGAAAAACCCUCAAGGCCAUCGACC